CGGGUAGCUCAGUUGGAUAGAGCAACAGCCUUCUAAGCUGUGGGUCGAGGGUUCGAAUCCCUCCUCG
rnacentral:tRNA from 1 species